AGAGUUUGAUCCUGGCUCAGGACGAACGCUGGCGGCGUGCCUAACACAUGCAAGUCGAACGGAGAAUUUCAAUAAGUUUACUUAGAGAAAUUUUUAGUGGCGGANNNNNNNNNNNNNNNNNNNNNNNNNNNNNNNNNNNNNNNNNNNNNNNNNNNNNNNNNNNNCUCUUUGGAUCGCAUGGUUUAAAGAGAAAAGGUGGCCUCUUUACAAUGCUACCACUUACAGAUGAAUCCGCGUCCCAUUAGCCAGUUGGUGGGGUAAAGGCCUACCAAAGCGACGAUGGGUAGCCGGCCUGAGAGGGUGACCGGCCACACUGGGACUGAGACACGGCCCAGACUCCUACGGGAGGCAGCAGUAGGGAAUUUUCGGCAAUGGGCGCAAGCCUGACCGAGCAACGCCGCGUGAGUGAAGAAGGCCUUCGGGUUGUAAAGCUCUGUUGUAAGGGAAGAAUGGCCAAGAGAGGGAAUGCUCUUGGAGUGACGGUACCUUACCAGAAAGCCACGGCUAACUACGUGCCAGCAGCCGCGGUAAUACGUAGGUGGCAAGCGUUAUCCGGAAUUAUUGGGCGUAAAGGGAGCGUAGGCGGUUUGAUAAGUCUGAGGUGAAAGUUCGGGGCUCAACCCUGAGAGUGCAUCGGAAACUGGAGAUCUUGAGGACAGGAGAGGAAAGUGGAAUUCCACGUGUAGCGGUGAAAUGCGUAGAUAUGUGGAGGAACACCAGUGGCGAAGGCGACUUACUGGACUGUAACUGACGCUGAGGCACGAAAGCGUGGGUAGCAAACAGGAUUAGAUACCCUGGUAGUCCACGCUGUAAACGAUGAGUGCUAGGUGUUGGGUAGCGAUAUUCAGUGCCGAAGUUAACACAAUAAGCACUCCGCCUGGGGAGUACGGUCGCAAGACUGAAACUCAAAGGAAUUGACGGGGGCCCGCACAAGCGGUGGAGCAUGUGGUUUAAUUCGACGCAACGCGAAGAACCUUACCAGGGCUUGACAUCCCCUUGACAGAUGCAGAGAUGUGUCCUCCCCUUCGGGGGGAAGGGAGACAGGUGGUGCAUGGUUGUCGUCAGCUCGUGUCGUGAGAUGUUGGGUUAAGUCCCGCAACGAGCGCAACCCUUAUCGUUAGUUGCCAGCAUUUAAAGAUGGGAACUCUAACGAGACUGCCCGGGUCAACCGGGAGGAAGGUGGGGAUGACGUCAAGUCCUCAUGGCCCUUAUGUCCAGGGCUACACACGUGCUACAAUGGCCGGUACAGACGGAAGCGAAGCCGCGAGGUGGAGCAAAUCCGAGAAAGCCGGUCUCAGUUCGGAUUGCAGGCUGCAACUCGCCUGCAUGAAGUCGGAAUCGCUAGUAAUCGCAGGUCAGCAUACUGCGGUGAAUACGUUCCCGGGUCUUGUACACACCGCCCGUCACACCACGAGAGUCGGCA
rnacentral:rRNA from 1 species